rnacentral:misc_RNA from 1 species
GAUGAAGAACGUAGCGAAAUGCGAUAAGUAAUGUGAAUUGCAGAAUUCAGUGAAUCAUCGAAUCUUUGAACGCACAUUGCGCCCGCCAGUAUUCUGGCGGGCAUGCCUGUUCGAGCGUCAUUUCAACCCUCAAGACCCCUUCGGGGGACUUGGUGUUGGGGACCGGCACAGGGGCCUGCCUGCUUGUCUUGCAGCGCCCUCGCCGCCCCCGAAAUGAAUUGGCGGCCUCGUCGCGGCCUCCCCUGCGUAGUAGCACAACCUCGCAACGGGAACGUGACGGCGGCCACUGCCGUAAAACAACCCCAAUUUUAUUAGAGUUGACCUCGAAUCAGGUAGGAAUACCCGCUGAACUUAAGCAUAUCAAUAGCGGAGGA